UUUCUUUUUCAUAAAUAUGUGCUCCACAGUUACGGCAUUAUUCACCUGUUACUCAGAAAUUGCAGCUCUUGACUCAAGGGACCUUGCAUGCUCCUCAGAAGAAUGGCACACAUUUUCACAUGGAGUGUGCAGAGUCUUUUACCCUGUGAAGAUAGGUGUAGGGUCAUUCCAUGUAGGCAGAACCUACCAACCAUGCAACUGCCAGAUUCGGAUUUAGUGGAUUAUUUUUUUCUUGAUCAGACCGCCAAGUAAUGCCUUUUGCAAAAUAUUAGGUCUCAAAUCGAAAAACUCACUGAGACACGAAUUUUUGAAGUUUUAAGAAUUUUCAAGUAACCGAUGUUUCGAACUUCCAAUAAAGAGAGGGUCGUUUUCCCCCAAAUAUUCACCCCGGGCCCAUUUUUCGUUGGGUUGAAGACUGAAAAUAACACCAAAA